UGGGGAUUAUUGGACUAUGGGCGCAAGCCUGAUCCAGCCAUGCCGCGUGAGUGAUGAAGGUCCUAUGGUUGUAAAGCUCUUUCACCGGUGAAGAUAAUGACGGUACCCGGAGAAUAAGCCCCGGCUAACUUCGUGCCAGCAGCCGCGGUAAUACGACGGGGGCUAGCGUUGUUCGGAUUUACUGGGCGUAAAGCGCACGUAGGCGGACUUUUAAGUCAGGGGUUAAAUCCCGGGGCUCAACCCCGGAACUGCCUUUGAUACUGGAAGUCUGUGGUAUGGUAGAAGUGCGUGGAAUUCCGAGUGUAGAAGUGAAAUUCGUAGAUAUUCGGAGGAACACCAGUGGCGAAGGCGGCUCACUGGACCAUUACUGACGCUGAGGUGCGAAAGCGUGGGGAGCAAACAGG
rnacentral:rRNA from 1 species